UAGACCUUGACCUUCAAGUUUCCUAGACACUGCAGGAUCCCAGCACACCAGAGACCUCUGACUCACCUUUUAGCAUGUGAAGCUCCUUGGAAAACAAAAAGACUUGAUAUGUUUUUAAUUUGUUUUGCAGAUUUGGUGGAGGAGGUUGUCUGAACACUAGUGAUCCCUAAUUCAUGACCCUUGGGAUGUGUGGGGGGCAAGACAUGUGUCCUUUUCCACCCGUGUGCCCCAGCUCUUCUUCGUGACUCACUGAAGAGCUCUCCUAGUCAUGCCUAGUGGGAUGGAAAGAGGCAAAGAGUGCAUCAAAGUGCUCCUUGUCACCUCUCUUCAGGAAUUCCAGAGAGCAACUUAAGUUUGGCUGAUUCUUUACCUGAAAGAGCCACGGUUUCACCAAGGUUUGGUGGUUCACUAUUGAAAAAGAGAGCCUAGGAGAUCCCUACAAAUCUGGACUGGGUGUCCCUCCUACCAUGGAAAAUAAAUGAGGACAACAGCUGACGCUGCUAGAAGAAAUCACUUUUCUGCAGCAGUAUCUACCAUUUCACAUACAUGAGCAGCUCAACCCAAUGAGGGUCAACCCAACUCUACAGACUCCAGGCAAAGGGCAGCUCAAGGCAGGCACAGAGCUAACAGAAACACUGAUCGACAUGAGGAAUGCUUCCAUAGAAAUGCCUCCCCAGCUUCCAUCACCUGCCCAUCUUUGGAGCAUCCUCCCUGCUUUGAGGAAAGAAGAGAACUCAUCCCAGACCCGGAGCUGCAGAAAGAUGGUACCAGCCUUGCACAUUCAGCAGCUGUUUUUCCUGAGGCUGGAAGGCAGCUAUCAGUCAAAAUUAACACUGCAUGAAUGCCUGCAGUAAAGGUUUUUCACUGCUGAACAAUAACAGGAUGGAAAAGGAGAAGGGAAGCAGCGUAGAUGGAGAGAACAGGCUCAUGCAGGGGACAAGGAUGAAGGGGGAUUUCCACCUCUCAGUGGAGUUUGAGAACAUCUGCAUUUCAACUCCUGCUCUGCCAUAGAUUUAUUGUAUUAGAAAGGAUCAGGGUGUUACAGACAGACCAAGGUCUCGUAGAUUCUCCUCCAGAACAUGAGACUCAUACACUGGCUGAUGUAAGCAGCUACAAAUGGGUCCAGAAACAGCCACACUGGGAGCUGCAAUUUUAAUUUCCAUGGUAGUUCUGAUGCUGUCCCCUCUUUGCUGGGGUCACAUUGUCAGGAACUGAUUGACUCUGUAUACAGGACAAGAGGUAAUGGACUUAAGUUGCUCCAGGGGAGGUUCAGAUUGGAUAUUAGGAAACAUUUCUUCUCAAAAAGGCAGUCAAGCACUGUUACAGGCUGCACGGGGAAGUGGUGGGGUCACUGUCCCUGGAGGUGUUCCAGAACCAUGGAGAUGUGGCUCUGAGGGAUGUGGUCAGUGGGCAUGGUGGGAUGGGUUGGGGUUGGACUUGGCGAUCUUAGAGCUCUUUUCCAACAUCAGUGAUUCCGUGAUUCUAUGAUUCAUUGAGUGGUCCUAGACAAAGCAAGCAGGGUCCCGUGGGGAGGUGGUGACAUGUGAGAAGAAUUGCCUGGUUUCACUCCAGUUCCCUGCAGAAAUGUUCCUCACCUCUUUGCCAUCACCAAAAUAAUGGUGUAACGAGCAUGCUUAGCUCCCAAAGUGCCACAAAAUCUGUGCAAACCCAAGCAAUGGCUGCAACCAUGGUGUUCUGCAGGGACAGACAUCUCUGAUGCCUUGGUCUGCCCAGAAAAUCCGAAUAACAAAAUUUCUCUGUGUUCCAUUCUUCAGACUAAUGCCUGAGUCUGAAUCCUUUUCUUUCUUUCUUUCUUUCUUUCGUUCUUGUUUUCCUUUUUAAUCUGGUGAUAUUUUUUUCCCUCUGAACACAGUUCCCCCCUUCACUUCACAGCAUUUCAAAGCUCUUUCCUCUCCCUGGACGGAGCCUUAGCAAACAAUAUCGAUGAUCUAAGUUUCUCUCCAAAAUGAAAGAAGGAAUAUGCUCCCUGGUGCUCUUGUGUAUGGUGUGAACACGAUCCCCGCAGAGAAGAGUUUGCAAAUGAAAUGUGACAAGUACUUCUCAUGAUUGCAUCUCUUCCCUAAUCACUUUUGGCUGCAUGAGGAGCAGCCACCCUUCUCCUUCUUGUAAAUUCUGUUAGGACAGACAUGGCCCCACUGUCAGAGAAUCUAGUGGGGGUCAGCCUCUUCUUCCAGGUAACUAGUGAUAGGACAAGAGGGAAUGGCCCCAAGUUGCUCCAGGGGAGGUUCAGGUUGUAUAUUAGGUAGAGUUUCUUCUCUGAAAGAGUGGUCAGGUUGCCCAGGCUGCCCAGGGAGGUGGUGGGGUCACCGUCUCUGAAGGUGUUUAAGGAAAGAUUAGAUGUAGUACUUAGGGACUUGGUUUACUGGGCAAUAUUGGAAGUUGAUGGAUAGCUGGACUAGAAUCACAGAGUCAUAGAAUCAUAAAGGCUGGAAAAGAUCUCUCAGAUCCCCAACCCCAAUCCACCCCCACCAUGCCCACUGACCAUGUCUCUCAGUGCCACAUCUCCACGGUUCUGAACAUCUCCAGGGACACUGACCCCAUCACUCCCUGGGCAGCCUGUGCCACUGCCUGACCACUCCUUAUGAGAACAAAUGUUUCCUAAUAUUCAACCUGACCAACUCUUGGUGCAACCUGAGGAAACUUCAGUCCUCCCCUUUUCCAGAGCUGGAGGAGGUUAGAAGUAUCUGGAGGACUGAGGUGAAGUUUUGGGAAAAUCACAUUUUCCCUGGCAAAAUCUGAACCUGGUGGUGCUCAUUUUGUUGGCCCCUGCGCAGGAAACACUGUCCAGAAAGGUGAGACAUUGCUGGGAGUUGGCUUCCAUCACCCCCAUACAUCCCAUCUCUUCCCAUAGGGCUCUUGUGCAUGCUGUGAUAAGCACAUGUCAAAUUCGAUAACAGGGAUUUGGAUGAGCAAAAUACGUGGCUCAGAGGAUGCUUUCCCCUCUCACCAUGAGACUGGAUGUGUGUACAUUGCCAGACAGCAGAGACUUUGCUUUUUCUAUGGAUGGAGGCACUUUGGGACACAUGAAGGGUUGAAUCCACAGACACAGACCAUUGAGCACUCCCCAGAGGAGCCCCGUAGAUGAAUCUGCCUCCAUAUGAAUAUGAUUCUAUGAUGAAUAUGAUUCUAUGAUUCUAUGAAGCAGCACUGCUUCAGUCAAAAUGAAAAGGAAACACACACACACACACAAAACAAAUCAGCAGUCAGUUUUCAAGCUGGAAAUCCAUGCAUUUUCCUAAGAAAGGCUUGUACUCCUCUUAAUUCUUCCUAAUACUAUUUGCACUCCUUCCUAUGCUGUGGGAAAUAAGCUGUUCCAUUUUAAUUGGGAGAACUGCAACAAUAGCUUGUUUAAAUGCAUUUUGGGUCCACCCAGAGCAAAAUCCAAAGAAUAUAACCAGAUUAAAAAACGCGGUAUUACCACUGCCCCUCCCUCCAAAACAGAGAAAAAAUGAUUUCAGGAUGCACUAUGAUAAGAUAUUACUUUUUCAACUCUCAAAGGAAAGGUUUCAUUUUGUUAUGUCCCCACCUCAUCUCACUUGUAGAGUAAUCACUGCAUUUUGCUAAAUUUUUAAAAUGGGCAGCACUGGAAAAUCAAAAAUCAAAACAUUCCCUCUGACAAAGUUAUUAAAAUUGAAACGCUGUGACUCUGCUGCAGCAGAUUAAUUCUAAAAAGCAACCCAAAAAGAGGAAAAAAAAUUCCUAUAAGUGGCUUUUGACCAAAUGACUGGAAAAUGAGUUCACUGAGAGUUUCACUCAAGCCAAAUCUGCAUUUUGCGGCAUAAUAAACUAUUUGACCAAACAUCA
rnacentral:lncRNA from 1 species